rnacentral:rRNA from 1 species
CCUACGGGAGGCUGCAGUAGGGAAUAUUGCUCAAUGGGCGAAACCCUGAAGCAGCAACGCCGCGUGGAGGAUGAAGGUUUUCGGAUUGUAAACCCCUUUUGUUAGAGAAGAUAAUGACGGUAUCUAACGAAUAAGCACCGGCUAACUCCGUGCCAGCAGCCGCGGUAAUACGGCGGGUGCAAGCGUUACUCGGAAUGACUGGGCGUAAGGAGCGCGUAGGCGGGAUAGCAAGUCAGAUGUGAAAUCCUAUGGCUUAACCAUAGAACUGCAUUUGAAACUGUUAUUCUAGAGUAUGGGAGAGGUAGGUGGAAUUCUUGGUGUAGAGGUGAAAUCCGUAGAGAUCAAGAGGAAUA